rnacentral:rRNA from 1 species
UACAGAGGGGGCGAGCGUUGUUCGGAAUUACUGGGCGUAAAGGGCGCGUAGGCGGCCAACUAAGUCAGACGUGAAAUCCCUCGGCUCAACCGGGGAACUGCGUCUGAUACUGGAUGGCUUGAAUUCGGGAGAGGGAUGCGGAAUUCCAGGUGUAGCGGUGAAAUGCGUAGAUAUCUGGAGGAACACCGGUGGCGAAGGCGGCAUCCUGGACCGAGAUUGACGCUGAUGCGCGAAAGCCGGGGGAGCAAACAGG